GCCAGAGGCCAAAGACAUAUGUGAAAUUCUGACACAGCCAGACACGGCCACGACACUCCCUGUGAAGAGUGGGUUGGCAGACGAGAGAAGUCGUCAGGCUGCCAAGAGGUGUAUCUGGAGAGCACUGUAUCAGGACGUCGCUGAAGGAAGGGUCAGGCUGUAAUAAAAGCCAACUAACAAAACCCAAGCAGAUAGCGUAGUUAAAAACUAAAGAAGUAAUCCCAGUAUGUGUGCUCCUCAUCUCUUCACAUGAGCUGUCCUGAUGAAUCCUGGGGAUGACAGCAUGAGAGAUAAGUUACUGCUUUCAUUUUCAGGUCCCGGGAAGAGUGGACUGGGCUUGCUCACCAAAGAGGCCACAAGAAGAAAAGUACCCUGUAGGACCAUGGCUGUUGGCACUAUUUGUUUUUGUUGUCUGUGGCU